rnacentral:rRNA from 1 species
UACGUAGGGUCCAAGCGUUGUCCGGAUUUAUUGGGCGUAAAGAGCUCGUAGGCGGUUCCGUAAGUCGGAUGUGAAAACUCGGGGCUCAACCCCGAGACGCCAUCCGAUACUGCGGUGACUUGAGUCUGGUAGGGGAACACGGAAUUCCUGGUGUAGCGGUGAAAUGCGCAGAUAUCAGGAGGAACACCAAUGGCGAAGGCAGCUCGCUGGGACGGUACUGACGCUGAGACGCGAAAGCGUGGGGAGCAAACAGG